UGGUAAGCUAUACGACGUCCCAUUGACAGACAACGUGUACGGGUAAGAUUCGUCUUUAGUUGGCUCGCUUUGUCCCAGUUGUGGCGGUCUUCUAAGCAUUUGAGCAAUUCGCACGGCAUCGCGGCACCCGCUCCGCCGAGUUCUGACUGCAAGCCCCUGAACAAAUCCGCAAACAGAUUGGACAGGAGCUGGCUUCUUAAAGACGUGCACGAACAUGACUCCUGGAACAUUCGGUGAAGUGAAUUGGCUUCAAGAUCCUGUGAUUCGACACCGUUACACUUCCUUCUCUGGGGCCAUGAAGCACAGGUCUUUAAAGCAACAUAAAGAGCAAUUAGGUAUUCGAGUUAUUGGCGAUAGACCCGCAAUUAUGCCAGACUGUGAUUGAAAUUUUUGAAGAAAGAUUAAAAUGUAUAU